CCUACGGGAUGCAGCAGUGGGGAAUAUUGCACAAUGGGCGCAAGCCUGAUGCAGCCAUGCCGCGUAUGAAGAAGGCCUUCGGGUUGUAAAGUACCUUCAGCGGGGAGGAAGGUGUUGUGGUUAACAACCACAGCAAUUGACGUUACCCGCAGAAGAAGCACCGGCUAACUCCGUGCCAGCAGCCGCGGUAAUACGGAGGGUGCGAGCGUUAAUCGGAAUUACUGGGCGUAAAGCGCACGCAGGCGGUCUGUCAAGUCGGAUGUGAAAUCCCCGGGCUCAACCUGGGAACUGCAUUCGAAACUGGCAGGCUAGAGUCUUGUAGAGGGGGGUAGAAUUCCAGGUGUAGCGGUGAAAUGCGUAGAGAUCUGGAGGAAUACCGAUGGCGAAGGCGGCCCCCUGGACAAAGACUGACGCUCAGGUGCGAAAGCGUGGGGAGCAAACAGGAUUAGAUACCCUGGUAGUC
rnacentral:rRNA from 1 species